rnacentral:ncRNA from 21 species
UAAUAGUAGUUGAAAAUGAUUAUCAAUACCACAUAGAACAUCCCCCCACAACGUUUCGUUCUUGUUGGAUUGGUCAUUUUCAAAUAUUCCCCUUUUAUAUGCCCGUAAAAGACAAUAUACGUUAUAACAACGUUUUAUAAAAGCAGUAAACCCUUACGACACUUUAGGUUUACUGCUUUU